AGAACAAAUAUAAGACUAUGAUUCCAAAAACAAUCAUGUAAAGAAUACUGAAUAUGAUGAUCAUUUUGAGUGGCUGCAUUUAAGAAAUAAAUCCAAGAGUUGCCAAUCUUCCAGCUCUCAGCCCCAACCCAAGAAGAGCAAGUAAGCAAGACAGAAACAUGGUUUCAUCCAGAGCAUCUUCUUCCAGCCAAGUGUAAUUUACAGCAGAGUGUUUGGUUCAUGUGUCACACAAGAAUUAUACAAGCUCGCUGCUUGCCCUGAGAAUAAAUAUGCGCUCCUCAUUCAGGAGCUUAAGGGAAUCCUCGAACUUGAGAUACAGUUAUCUUUCCACCAUUUUUGUUCAAGUCAGCUAACAUUCGUCUUGACUCAGAAAGGAGCACACCAGCAGGAUGAGACUGGAGACAAUAGGCCUUUCUAAGAGCCACCAAAGGAAGUCAACAGCUGGCUCAGAUCCCCUCAUCACCCACAGCACUGCCGUCCCUCCCCUGCCAGGCCUGGCCUCUUUCCUCCCAUAAACAUGGCAAGUGUAAUAGGUCUUGUCAAAGGUCACUAUAAAAUAACCUCAGGAGAUGUUAGAUAGAGGUGUCCACAGAAAUGCAACAACGUGCUGACAAGGAAA